CAGAAAGUGACUCCUCCAAGUCCCAGGAGGCCAGGGCUUUUCUCAUCCUUGCCUUUCAGCCCUAACCCAUGGGACUGCCCACGGAUUGGAGACUUCAAGGGCUGAGGUCUGGGAGCUGCAUAAAGGGCAUUGCUUCAGCCCAGGUUAGAAAUCUGCCUGGGCAAGCUCUUCCUGCCCCAGACCUACAAAGCAGCAGACCGGGGGCUCUGGUGGACUAGCCCCUGACAUUGGUGGGGGGCCCCACACCACUCCACCCCACCCUGCCUUCCAGCUCUCCUGGGCAUUUUUCUCCCUGUACUCAAACAGCCUACCCACCCAAGGUUUCCUCCCUGGGCAGCCUAGCAAUGAACAGUGCAGCCGGCAGGGCAGAGGCCCGGCAGUCACCGGGCCCGUCAGGCUCAGGCAGAGAAGCCACAGGGGCCAGGAGUCACUGGAGACUAUUUCUAAAUGAUGGGGGUAAAUGCACAAAUAGAAUCUCACCAAAGGGCUGCCUCCACAUUGAUGCCGUGCCCAGAGGGACAGAACCAAUGCCACCAGCCUGGGUAUAUGUCACUGGGCACAGCUCUAACCCCCUCCUCCGGACUCUAGUCCCGCUCCUCUGCGCACAGAGCCCCCAGCCCACAGGUACACCUUCAUGAUUUGGAGAAAGACGCUCGCCCCAUGCACGCCCUCCUCUGGGCCUUCUGCCCUGCUCCCAGUCACUUCCAAGCUUCCUGUUUGCCUGUGAUGUUAUUGUGCCUGUUGAGGGAAGCAGCAGAGGAGGCAGUGGCUGACUUGGCACAGAUGCCUGCUACGUGCUCUGUUGAAAUGCGCGGGGUGGCCAUUCCUCGGUACAGACUAGUCCUGGUCCUUGGGUGUGGGCAGUGGGGGAGGAACCAACUGGUCGAGGUUUCAGAGCCAAACCUUGCCUUUGGUUGGUGAGUCCUUGCCCCCCAGGCCUGCGCUCCACGAUGCCUUUCACCCUUGGCAAUCUCAGGGCCAUCCUGGGUAGUAACCCCACUCCUCUCUGCUCCCGCCCGCACCUGUGGCUCUCACUCUGGGCUCAACCCCUGCAACCCUCCAGGAGCCCGACAGCAGCCAGCUGCCUGCACUGUCGCCUCCGUAAGCUCCAACUUCCAGACCCAGAAGUCCCUCUGCUUCCCUCUGUUGGAAAAAGCCUAAAAGAAUUAGCUUCCAGAUUCCUCUAGCCCCUGCUCCAUUCCCACCCAGUCCUUCUGAAGAGGAAUGAGCAAUACAUCUGAGCUGGAUUUCUCUCUAGUCCUUUCUCCAGACAAAUCCUUCUUAAAGCAAAAGUCCUGGCUGAGCACCUGUCCUUGGGGACCGAUCUGCCGUGUGACCAGGGGAAGAAAGUUCCCGAAAGCCUGUUCCACCAAUUCUGCUUCUGUGUUGUGAAUCCAGUCUGCUUUCCAUUAGAAAACCGCUUCGGCACUUAUGGUCACUUUAAUAAAUCUAGUAUGUAAAAAAAAAAAAAAAAAA
rnacentral:lncRNA from 1 species